rnacentral:misc_RNA from 1 species
GAUGAAGAACGUAGCGAAAUGCGAUAAGUAAUGUGAAUUGCAGAAUUCAGUGAAUCAUCGAAUCUUUGAACGCACAUUGCGCCCGCCAGUAUUCUGGCGGGCAUGCCUGUCCGAGCGUCAUUUCAACCCUCAGGCCCUGGUUGCCUGGUGUUGGGGCGCCGCGCACCCUCUGCGGGCGCGGGCCCCGAAAGUCAGUGGCGGGCUCGCCAGGACUCCGAGCGCAGUAAUUUUCUCUCGCUGUGGAGCGCCUGGUGGGUUACCAGACGUAAAACACCCCAAAUUCUAAAGGUUGACCUCGGAUCAGGUAGGAAUACCCGCUGAACUUAAGCAUAUCAAUAAGCGGAGGA